GUUGCCGGCAGCCAUGAGGGCUUCUCUUUUCCCUCCCUGGCAUGGCUCCCGAUGGGGCGUUGUGGGUUCUCUCCAUGUGGAGGAAGGGGGAAAGGAGCUGGCAUCUGUAGGUGACGUGACAUGUGGGUUGGCUCCUCUUCCUCCACUGAAGACUGCAACAGAGGCACCUUAUUACCACCACACAUGUACUCUUCAGGUCUGAUCAUAACAUUGUUUUCUGACACAAUCAAUCUGGCAGCCUCAAGAUCAAUGAACAGAAUUGGUCCAUGGCCAGAGGUGGCAACUUUGCUUAUUCAAGAAAGAAGGAUCUUUGCUCCGUGUUCCUGUAUCUUGCUUCAAGUAUCAGCCUUGCUGUGAAUCCAGUGGAAUAUUCCAGUGACUUUGCUGUUUGGAGUUUAUUCCAGUCGAGACCUUUGCCUUGGGUUUCAUCUUUGACUUUAUACCUUGGAACUAUUCCUGCAUUUGAAUCUUGUUUUAUGUGCCUUGUUUGUGGAUCAUCAUUGACUCUACACCUGGAACCACAUUGGAAUUAAUCCUGCACUCCAGUCUUGGUUUUCUAUGAUUAUCCUUGAUUCAUGUCUUGGGAAAUAAUCCAGUUUCAGACUAUGCUCUUUAAGUGGUUUUUAUAGACUCUUGUCUCAUGAACUUUAAGUACCUUGCUCUUUUGGAUUUAAACCUAAUUUACUGACUCUGAACUAUAUUUUGCUUUUACUUGCUUAUAAUAAUCAAUAAACAACUUGCUUAUAUUCUGGGGCUUCAGUGUGGUUUUGAGGUGCCUACGCAGCCUAGGGGGUACAACAGUAAGCAUAUGAAGUGCUUAACUUAUUGGUUAAAACUCACAGUGGAAGCCAUAGCUAACAUUGCAUUAACUUAUUUUUUUUCCAUUUUACAAACUGAAAUAACAGAGUAGCAUGAUAGUACAAUUAUCAACUUGCCCAUCUUUCAGUCGGGAUUCAUGAUAUUAAAAUAAUUGCGCACCAUGCAUUUGCUCUUUCAACUUUUUCUUAUCCCUCACCUUAUUUUAACCAAACUACCAGAAAAUGUUUUAAAAGCCCCCAAACUGCUCUAGGUACUGGGAGAGGAGAUGUCUUCC
rnacentral:lncRNA from 11 species